rnacentral:rRNA from 1 species
UACAUGUGGGGCAAGCGUUGUUCGGAAUUACUGGGCUUAAAGGGUGCGUAGGUGGUUUGUUAAGUCACGGGUGAAAGUUUUCGGCCCAACCGGAAAAUUGCCCGUGAUACUGGCGAACUUGAGUGCGUGAGGGGUAACCGGAACGAGCAGUGUAGCGGUGAAAUGCGUAGAUAUUGCUCGGAAGGCCAGAGGCGAAGGCGGGUUACUGGUACGCAACUGACACUGAGGCACGAAAGCGUGGGGAGCAAACAGG